rfam:Zobellia galactanivorans strain DsiJT chromosome, complete genome.
AUUAAAGAGGAGGGAUUUGACUGAUUGCAACCUCUGUUUUAAACCUGAGUAGGGUGAUAAAAACAAAAAAAUGCUAAAGCAGUUGAU